rnacentral:rRNA from 1 species
UGCUAAUACCGAAUAUGAUCUACGGAUUAAAGGAGCCCUCUUCUUGAAAGGUUUCGCUAUAGGAUGAGCCCGCGUGAGAUUAGCUAGUUGGUAAGGUAAUGGCUUACCAAGGCGACGAUCUCUAGCUGGUUUGAGAGGAUGAUCAGCCACACUGGGACUGAGACACGGCCCAGACUCCUACGGGAGGCAGCAGUGGGGAAUAUUGCACAAUGAGCGAAAGCUUGAUGCAGCCAUACCGCGUGUGUGAAGAAGGCCCGAGGGUUGUAAAGCACUUUCAAUUGGGAGGAAGAUAGUAUAGUUAAUACCUAUAUUGUUUGACGUUACCUUUAGAAGAAGCACCGGCUAACUCUGUGCCAGCAGCCGCGGUAAUACAGAGGGUGCAAGCGUUAUUCGGAAUUACUGGGCGUAAAGCGCGCGUAGGCGGAUUAGUAAGUCAGUUGUGAAAGCCCUGGGCUCAACCUAGGAACUGCAUCUGAUACUGCUAGUCUAGAGUUUAGUAGAGGGAAGGGGAAUUCCAGGUGUAGCAGUGAAAUGCGUAGAUAUCUGGAGGAACAUCAGUGGCGAAGGCGCCUUCCUGGACUAAAACUGACGCUGAGGUGCGAAAGCGUGGGUAGCGAACGGGAUUAGAUACCCCGGUAGUCCACGCCGUAAACGAUGUCAACUAGUUGUUGGUUCUAUUAAAAGAAUUAGUAACGAAGCUAACGCGAUAAGUUGACCG